rnacentral:rRNA from 1 species
CGCAGCCGCGGUAAUUCCAGCUCCAAUAGCGUAUAUUAAAGUUGUUGCAGUUAAAAAGCUCGUAGUUGAAUUUUGGAUUCUACCAAUUGGUCCAUCUUUUAGAUGAGUACUGGUUGUGUGGGGUCUAUCCGCCUGGUGAUACGUAAUGUCCUUUAUUGGAUGUUGCGGGUAGUCAGGACCUUUACCUUGAAAAAAUUAGAGUGUUUAAAGCAGGCUUAUGCCGGAAUACAUUAGCAUGGAAUAAUAGAAUAGGACGAAGUUGUUUUAUUUUGUUGGUUUCUAGGACAACCGUAAUGAUUAAUAGGGAUAGUUGGGGGCAUUAGUAUUCAAUUGUCAGAGGUGAAAUUCUUGGAUUUAUUGAAGACUAACUACUGCGAAAGCAUUUGCCAAGGAUGUUUUCAUUAAUCAAGAACGAAAGUUAGGGGAUCGAAGACGAUCAGAUACCGUCGUAGUCUUAACCAUAAACUAUGCCGACUAGGGAUCGGGCGAUGUUGUUUCCAUGACUCGCUCGGCACCUUAU